UGUAUAACGGUAAAGACGAAACAUGCGUAUUUGGAAUAAGUCCUCGAGCAGAAAUAUUAGAACUAAACAUUAUUUCGUAUUUCGCACAGCAAUGUUGUGGAGAAUGGUGGCAUCAAAGAAAAUAUAAAAAUGCAGAUAAAUUCAGAGACUACAGAGCAAACAAUUGCAGAGAGAUCUGCAUAACCUUUGCAGCUGCAACUUUGAAUCCGAUAUCUGUCUGUAUUGCGAGAUUUAUUCGUAUAUUAUUCGUUCCUUGUAUUCGUAGAUUUCCAUGUUUUGAAAAAUGAUAAUCUGGAAUCGGAUUCAAGAUUCAAAUGCUAAAUAUUCUCAGAUAAGGUGCCUUUGGGAGUUACCACUGUGGAGUAAACAACUUAGUUUAUAUUGGUAAAUGAUACCCAAAAGCCCAGUAAAUAUUGAAGAAGAAUAAUUUAUUUUUUUAAAAAACACCUUAUAGUCAUGUCUCAUUGCUCAGUAGCGCUCCGUUGCGACGACGCACCACGUUGUAGGUCCGUCCCUAACCGCCCUGCUAUACGGCACAGAUCUAACUAGUCAUUGAGCGUCGGAGCCCAGGGUCCUAUUUUCUUUUGCUACAGCACGAACCGACAUAUUAACCUCAAGGCACCAACCACUAAAGUUCUACGAUUAUUUUGACGUGUACGGUUACAAAAAGACUUGAUCCUUGAACGACUCGUGUAUCAAUCGACCACCAAUUGCUUCGCUUCAAAGAAAAUAUCGUGAGGAAACCUGGACACUAGUUGAUAAUUUAUCAACUUGUGGGUGGAAUGGGUGAAGACAAUGGCAAACCAUAUCCAAGGUCGUCGAUUGUAAGGAAUUCAAAACGCUCUUUAGAUUCCAAAUUUGUGAUGUUUUGUAAAAUAUUAAUCUUAAAUUGUAGCGGACAGGAACUUCUAUGACUCGGUAAUAAAGGUUAUAAUGAAAAGAUUUUGCAUAGUCUUGUCAUGUUCACCACAAGACCUUGGGCGGGUUAAACGAUUGGUAUCUUAACCCGGCAGUGCGAUCGGUUUUAUAUGAAAAUCCACUUUCACCGCUCCUCACCCGAGCACAACCAUUUCGC